ensembl:lncRNA
UGUGGAUGUCUGAGGGGUGACGGGAAGGACGACCCGCCCUCACGCUGGGUCCAUCUCCUUUGCUCCUUAACCGCUGGGCUGGCUUCUGCUCAGCUCUGCAGGUGGAUACGCUGCUCACUAGAAACAUUUUGUCCAGGUCCUGAUCCAGGGUCACCUUGACCUGGACUGGUCUGCCUCUCCCCCCUGCUAGGUUUCUCUCUAGGGGACCUCUAGGAGAAGGGCAGAACUCAGACAGCCAGACACUGCGGUCCUGAGGUGGGACAAGAGGAAUAAAGAUACAACAAGCUUGGGCAACUCUCUUUCACCUGCAAAUUGGCUCUUUUCGCCUGUGAAUGGCACUUAUCCUCAAGGAAGCAGCACUGUAGUGGACAGUGGCUCUCAACUUCAAACCCAGACACUCUGAGCCCUGUGACCCAGGCCCGACUGAACCAGGCCUGGUGCUGAGAGGGCAGAUCCCACAGCGG